rnacentral:misc_RNA from 1 species
GCGAUAAGUAGUGUGAAUUGCAGAAUUCAGUGAAUCAUCGAAUCUUUGAACGCACAUUGCGCCCUUUGGUAUUCCAAAGGGCAUGCCUGUUCGAGCGUCAUUUGUACCCUCAAGCUUUGCUUGGUGUUGGGCGUCUUGUCUCUAGCUUUGCUGGAGACUCGCCUUAAAGUAAUUGGCAGCCGGCCUACUGGUUUCGGAGCGCAGCACAAGUCGCACUCUCUAUCAGCAAAGGUCUAGCAUCCAUUAAGCCUUUUUUCAACUUUUGACCUCGGAUCAGGUAGGGAUACCCGCUGAACUUAAGC